CCGCCCUCGGUCUAGUCGGACCUCUCUCCACGACAGGGUUUUCUCUCCUGCCAAGGAGCAGCUGAUCUUCAGCAUCCAGCAUCCCCCAAACCUGCCACUUCUGAGCUGUAUCAGGAGACCUGCUGCUUCCUGUUCUGUCUGAUGAGGAGACUGAGGCCCAACGAGGAAAAAGAUGGUGUUGCUGGGGGCCCAGGGAU